AUACGGAGGGUGCAAGCGUUACUCGGAAUCACUGGGCGUAAAGCGCGCGCAGGCGGCUUGAUAAGUUGGAUGUGAAAUCCUACGGCUCAACCGUAGAACUGCAUCCAAAACUGUCAAGCUAGAGUCUGGGAGGGGAAGAUGGAAUUAGUUGUGUAGGGGUAAAAUCCGUAGAGAUAACUAGGAAUACCAAAAGCGAAGGCGAUCUUCGGGAACAGUACUGACGCUGAGGCGCGAAAGCGUGGGGAGCAAACAGGAUUAGAAACCCGUGUAGUCC
rnacentral:rRNA from 1 species